CCUACGGGUGGCAGCAGUGAGGAAUAUUGGUCAAUGGGCGCGAGCCUGAACCAGCCAAGUCGCGUGAGGGAAGACGGCCCUACGGGUUGUAAACCUCUUUUGCCGAGGAGCAACGGGCGCCACGUGUGGCGCCACUGAGAGUACCCGGAGAAAAAGCAUCGGAUAACUCCGUGCCAGCAGCCGCGGUAAUACGUAGGAUGCGAGCGUUAUCCGGAUUUCUUGGGUUAAAAGGGGGCGUAGGCGGAGCGGUAAGUCGUUGGUUAAAUUGAGGGGCUCAACCCCUUCCCGCCAUUGAAACUGGCGCUCUUUAGUGGAAGAGAAGUAUGCUGAAUGCGUGGUGUAGCGGUGAAAUGCAUAGAUAUCACGCAGAACCCCGAUUGCGAAGGCAGCAUGCCGGCUUCCGACUGACGCUGAAGCACGAAAGCGUGGGGAUCGAACAGGAUUAGAUACCCUUGUAGUC
rnacentral:rRNA from 1 species